UGGCUUUACAGUGUGUUAGGCUUUAUAGUGUGUGAGUGAGUGUGUUUUUACAGUGUUAGUGUAGCUUUAUAGUGUGUGUGUAACUUUACAGUGUGUGGUGUAACUUUACAGUGUGUGUGUGAGUGAGUGUAACUUUACAGUGUGUGAGUGAGUGUGUCUUUAUAGUGUGUGAGUGAGUGUAGCUUUAUAGUGUGUGUGUGAGUGAG